rnacentral:rRNA from 1 species
GCAACUCGCCUACACGAAGCUGGAAUCGCUAGUAAUCGCGGAUCAGCACGCCGCGGUGAAUACGUUCCCGGGCCUUGUACACACCGCCCGUCACACCAUGAGAGUCUGUAACACCCAAAGCCGGUGGGAUAACCUUUAUAGGAGUCAGCCGUCUAAGGUAGGGCAGAUGAUUAGGGUGAAGUCGUAACAAGGUAAC